rnacentral:tRNA from 1 species
AUUUUUAUAGUGUAAUAAACAUAUUGCUUUUUCAAAGCAAAGAUACUUUAAAUUAAAAAUA